GCGCUUCUGGAAGACUAGGUGAUGGAUUGAAGGACAGCUGCAGGCAGGGACUUGAGAUCCUGGAGACAACAGGUACCUGAAGUCAGUCUAGAGGCAUGGGGCAAGGAAGUGGUGGAGCAGGCGACCCCAGCAUUUUGGGUAGGUGGAGAAUCCUGCCAUGGGAAGGCCACCUGGAGAUCAACUGCCAGUGUCCCCGGGGGACAGUGUCCAUGGUGGAAGUUGGGAUAUCACCGGGCAAGGAGGCGUGUCAAGGACCGCCUUCACUGAAGCCGCAUGCAUCAAUGAGCCUUCCCGGCGAGGCGAAGCCAGAGAAGAAGCUGUGGACUCCGUCCCACCAAUUCAAGCCUGCAUGGUGGAGCGCUGCCAGCCAGCAGCACGGGGAAGUUGUCCAUGAGCGCUACUCUUGGCUCCACUCGGAUGCCAUCGCUGUCUAGAGCGCAUUCACGAAAAGCAGACGGGCGUUGUGUUCAGCGUGUGCGGGACACUUGAGGCGCCGUGCUCUGUGAAGCGUCCAGUGCACUCUCUUCCCCACCGCAUGACGCUCACAGGCCACCUGAGGCGGCCAUCUGGAGUACGCGUCCUUAGCCUCUGGCGACAUUCCUGGCUCCAGCACCGUGCCUGGUCACUCAAGCCCCCCGCUCCUCGUGCUGCAUUCCUGUGCUGGCUUUGGAAGCCCCUGCCUGGCAGAAGACCCAAGUCAAGAAAACACAUGAGAGGACCUGUGAAGAAGGCAAGGGAAGAAAGAGGUGGCUGGUGCUGCAGUGUUUGCCAUUGAUCCAGAGGUUUUCCAGUGGACCUCAGGUUCCUGCAGGCUGCCUGGGCCCGAGCCAGGGCGUGACCACACGGAAGAUGAGGAAGGGGAGCUCUGCCUGUUCUCUGUUGCUCACUUCUGGUCAGCACACCCACAUUCAGCUCAUCAAAGUUUAGGAGAUGAAAUACAGAGUUUCACAUCAAAGCCAUCAGCGCUGUCAAAAGUUUCAGUUUCUUCGAGACCGAAUUGCAAAAGCUCCCCAACAAUGGACUUAUCUCCCUACCAAGAAUUUC